AUGAUGGUGUUAUGGUGGAGGUGGGUGGUGGAUGAAGUAGAGCUGGUGAUGAAGAGAAUACUCAGUGUGAUUGUGCAAUGAUGGCUGCUGCCAAGGUAUCACCUCAAGUUCUAGAAAAACUAUGUUCUGACAAUUGCAUUAUUGCUUUUGCUAACAUCAAAGAGGUGAAUGAAAACCUUAGGAACAAAAUCUUAACUGAUGAAGUCAAAUUUGAAAGAUCUUUAAAAGAACUUAAAAACAAAUUGGCUGAAAAAGAGAAAGAGAUUAGCAGCAUGAAAGAAGAGCAAAGCAUAACCAAAACCCAACUCCAAACUAUGGUAGAAAAAUACCAAGUUUGCAAAAAGGAGUUAGAAUCCACCCAGAUCACAUGUGAGAAAUGGGUGGAAUCAUGCAAAGG
rnacentral:lncRNA from 1 species